rnacentral:lncRNA from 10 species
GGCUGGGUGAGCUGCAGCCCAGUCCCGUGUUGCCACGCUGGGAACUGGCGUUCUGUUUACAUAUCUUAGAGAACGAUCAGAAGGACGUGCUGUGUUUGCAGAAGCCCAAACUUGGAGGUCUCUGUAGUAGUUUCAUCGCCGAGAAUCCAGGCAGAGGACAGAUUUGGCGACGUCGUCAUUCUAGAAGCUCCCUUUAGCAACUGACCUCCGUGUUGCUAAACCCAGGGAACGCUUUUCUGUUUUUCUCACUUUACUUGACAGCUCGGAAGCAUGGGGCAGAGUUGACGCCUUUGUUCUUGAAACACGUUUCUUCCUUGGUCAUGAUGAUAACACAUCCUUCUUGCUUUUUCCUGCCUCUGGCAUUCUUUCUACAUUGCCUCCACCUCCACUAUCAAACCAUUAUAUGUUAAGGUUGUCAGGGUCCAGACAUUCGUCAGCUUCUUUACCUGGGCUUCUCCUAAACGCUGUGCUGUGAUGACCUCACCCACAGCUUCAGUUUCCUUCUAGAUGGAGGAGUCUUAAAUGCUUAUCCCGUCCACACCUCUCCUCUGGGCUUCACACCUACAACUCCCACUUGCCUCUCCACUUGUAUGUGCAGUG